CUCGCAGUGAAACGUGGACUUCUCUCAGCUCCACAUGAACAGAUCGGACUCUCUUUUCUGGGUUUUCUUCCUCCUGUUGCUGGAUGUCUGGAUUCAGCUGACGUCUGACUGAACAUGUCUGCUGUGGAUGAAGAGGAGGACAGAUCAGAGUCUGAGGACAGAGGUCAGCAGCUCAGACGCUCAGCAGAGUCUUCAGGAUCCAGCAGGUUGUCUCUGAAGAGUGACUGGUCUAAAGAUUUUCUUCCUCCAGACUUCAGUGGUGAACCUGGACCUUCAGACUCAAAGAAAGAAACUCUUUGUUUAUUCAUUCUCUUAUUGGACAGAAUUCAUUUGUUGAUACACAAAAUAAGAUAUUUACCCAAAAUAAUCACAAGGUUUAUCACAUCUGGGACCUCUCAGUACGAGGGGUGUCAACAUCUACAAGUGUAAACAGGUUCACAAAUAACAAGUCAUAACCGUUCAGGAAAAUCAGUAACUGUGUAGACGUCAUUGUCCUCCUUCUCCUCUUCUUUUUUUACCAAUAUAUAUAAUGUUUUUUGGAGUGAUGAUGUUUCCUGAAAGCUUCAGAUAAUAACACUAUCUCAGUAAACGUUCCCUCUAGAGCAGUUGUCUGCAUACAUACAAGCAUCGGGGACGAGGAGGCUGCAAACAACGAGGUGAGCGCUGUGUGGCGGCUUUUCUAACAACCUGGAAAUACUGAUGUGGGCCAAGUCGGGCAAAGCUGGUUUGCAACAGCAGCACGGGAUCCUAUUUAUUCCUAAGAAAAACACACUUGAUUGUGCUCGUCCAUCAAAAAUGACGGUGCAGAUCUGGACUUUAGAGAAGCAUCAUCUUUCUCUUGCUUUAUGUUGUUAAUCACAUGCUCAGACAAUCCAGGUUCGGUGAUCCAUGAUCAGAAAUCUCUCCAGAAUCAAGCUCAUGAUGUGAGUCCUUCACCUGAGGAGAUUUAAACCAAGUGGGGAUCAGAAGCGCCCCCUAGUGGGGAAAAUGAAACACUGCAUCUCCACUGAGAGUCUUCACUGCAGUCCUGUGUGUUCGUGUGUGUGCUGAGAAUUCCUGGACUUUGAAGUUGUGCUGAUCAACAGAGAGGGAGGUGUAAAAAAUCCAGCCGAAGAUGAGACACCCUGUGGUGAGGGAAGUGAGCUGCAGGAAGUUCAUCAGAGCCGGUGUUGCCCUGAUGGCCGUUGUUUUCUGUACAUAACAAGUUCAUGUGUCUAAAAAUGGUUAACUAUGUUUAAACAUGUUUUAGAAAGUGUAAACUAAUGAUUUAGAGAUGUUUUAUAUGUGCAUUUCAUCUUUAUGUAUUUAUUUCUUGUACUGUGUAUUCAUUGUAUUUUGUGGCUCUGUGGCUCCCAGGACUCCCUUGAAAAAGAGGUUUUUGAUCUCAAUUUUUGAUCUCAAUUUCCUGACUAAAUAAAGGUUAAAAAAGAAAAAAAUCCAGUUUAAAAAUCCAGAGAAAUAAUUCUACUUCCUGUUUUUCUGCAUCACUUACGGUUUGCUGCUCUACUGAAGGUUUCCGUUACGUGAAGCACAGCGGAGCCCGGCACGGUGUCUGUGGUGAUCUGUUGCCAUCCACUUUAAAGCCUCUACAAGGCGAGGCUGCAAGUGUGUACAUUUAUUGAUGUGUGUCUUCACUAUUAUAUUUUUGUAUUAUUUUGUUAUGAGGUGAAGUUUGUCUGCAGAACCGAUGCACGUUAUUCUGUGUUGCAUCCAGAUAUGUUUGUCAAGAGAAAUGUUCUUGUACUUUGUGGUUUUCACCACCUGGAGAGAAAAUAAAAGCAUCAAAACGUCCCGUGUGGUUCUGGUUCUUCUCCAGA
rnacentral:lncRNA from 1 species